UGGGGCGUCGCCAAGCGGUAAGGCACCGGGUUUUGGUCCCGGCAUUCGCAGGUUCGAAUCCUGCCGCCCCAG
rnacentral:tRNA from 1 species